UACAGAGGUCUCAAGCGUUGUUCGGAUUCAUUGGGCGUAAAGGGUGCGUAGGCGGUGAGGUAAGUUGGAUGUGAAAUCCCGGAGCUUAACUCCGGAACUGCACUCAAUACUGCCUUGCUAGAGUGCUGGAGAGGAGAUUGGAAUUCACGGUGUAGCAGUGAAAUGCGUAGAUAUCGUGAGGAAGACCAGUGGCGAAGGCGAAUCUCUGGACAGUGACUGACGCUGAGGCACGAAGGCUAGGGGAGCAAACGGG
rnacentral:rRNA from 1 species